rnacentral:rRNA from 1 species
UGGGUGACCUGCCCUCAGCUCUGGGAUAAGCCCGAGAAAUUGGGUCUAAUACCGGAUAUGACCUUUCCUCGCAUGGGGUUUGGUGGAAAGUUUUUUCGGCUGGGAAUGGGCCCGCGGCCUAUCAGCUUGUUGGUGGGGUAAUGGCUCACCAAGGCGACGACGGAUAACCGGCCUGAGAGGGCGACCGGUCACACUGGGACUGAGACACGGCCCAGACUCCGUACGGGA